rnacentral:lncRNA from 1 species
AUGGAAGGGAAAAAAACACAGGACCAAAUUGUCUCCUUUGUCACUUUACCGCUACAGUUAUUUAUUUCAGGUGAUAAUAUGCAGUAUUACUUUGUUAUAGAACUUAAUAAACUUCACAAGCAGGAUAUUACACUAUCAUCUCCUUUUAUGCUUCAGGUUGUCCAAAAAUUUAGGAGCAUCUUCUGCAAACAGCAGACAAUGAGAACAUUUCCAGUUUAUGACACAGAGAUUUCUAGAUUGGAGAAGUGGGGCAUGUCAGAUCCAACCAGGGCUUUGAAAAAGAGAGCUAACUGGAUCCCUUUUAUAAAGGUCUCAGACAUGGAGAGGGUGAUGGAGGGUCUCCAGGAUCAUGCAGCAGCGGUGCUCAAACCACAUCCUUUGCGGUCAGCUUCUGCCACUUGUUCUCAUGCCUCAGGACAGCAGAGCUACGAUCACAUCUGGAAGGAAGUCUACGCCUUCACUGAGCAUCACCAGGAAUUAAACACUGAGGAUGAUAACGCAGCCAUGGCUUGCAGUGGGGAAGGUGCAGGAGAAAGCAGCUCCAGAAAGCUCCCAGGAUCCUACAGAAAGAAGAAUGAAAGAGGGUAUGGUUGCAUGAGCACCUGGCAGCUUCUGGGGCUAGAAGAAGGACCAGUGAUUGCCAACAAGGAAGACGUGGUGAUGAGAGGAACCUAUCUUUCCUUUCUUCUCCUACAUCACUUGAGGCUCCGAGAGCUAAAGAGAGUGUGCCUGGGAAUCCUGAACUACUUCAGGUCUGUGGAGAGAAGCCUUACUAUUAGUACUGCAGGCCUCUCCCUCAAGGCUGGUCCUCUGAUUCCCAGCGCAGAAGACACCUCUUGGAUCAGUGCUGCUAAAGGAGGCACUGGUGCUUCUGGUGGCUUGCGCUCUCAGCCCUACGUUCACUACACACCAGCUGACUACAAGGUCCACAGCACUCAGUUCAUGGAGUUUGCAGAGGUGGAAAACCAUGAUGACUUUCACACUUGUGAAGAUGGAUAUAUCCACACGCAGGACCAGCGUGGGGCUUACAUCAUAUAUGAUGUAGCACUGGAGGACCUAAAGGAGCUUGAGAACCAGUUGCUGCUUGUGGCCAGCCAGUACAUUGAGAAAGAUAAAAGUAAGUUAUCUACUGGUCCAAACCACGUGGGAUAA